UCAAGUGCAAAGUGUGAGGGCACCAUCCGGGACACAGACACCAAAGAACAGUGCUCAGUGUUCCAGGUGAAAAGUGAAGAUCGUUUACCCAGGCAAACACGGAAGUGCUGAACAGUUUACCGCAGAAAGAUAAGGGUCUUGCUGUCACACAGGCUGGAGUGCAGUGGCGCAAUCUUGGCUCACUGCAACCUCUGCCUCCUGGGUUCAAGCAAUUCUUGUGCCUCAGCAUCGUGAGUAGCUGGAAUUGCAGGCUGGAAUGCAGUGGCACGAUCUCAGCUCACUACAGCAUCUGCCUCCUGGGCUCAAGCCAUCCUCCCACCUCAGCCUCCCAAAUAGCUGGGACUACAGGCGUGCACCACCAUACCAAGCCCCUUAUCCCCCUCCCUUAAGGACAUAACUGGUGCAAGCUGACUCCAAGCACAUCCAGGAAUGCACUUACUGAUAAGAUACCGAGGCAAGCUGUACCAGCAGCUCCUGGGAACUCGCUUGGUUGAUGGUACUCAAAGCCCCUGCAUUUAUCUCUUUGUGAUAGUUUAAGCACCUGGAACUGUUUAUUUUUCUUUAACUGUUUCUGUAACCAUUUAUGUUUUAACUUUUUGCCUGUUCUGCUUCUGUAAAAUUGCUUCAGCUAGGCUCCCCCUCCCCUUUUUAAACCAAGGUAUAAAAGGAAAUCUAGCCCCUUCUUCGAGACCGACAGAAUUUUUGAGCUCUGGCCAUCUCUCGGUCGCCGGCAAUAAAG